UGGGGAAUCUUGCGCAAUGAGGGCAACCUUGACGCAGCCAUGCCGCGUGUGUGAUGAAGGCUCUAGGGCUGUAAAGCACUUUCAGUAGGGAAGAUAAUGACGGUACCUACAGAAGAAGUCCCGGCUAACUCCGUGCCAGCAGCCGCGGUAAUACGGAGGGGGCGAACGUUGCUCGGAUUUACUGGGCGUAAAGCGACCGCAGGCGGUUUGUUUAGUCAGAUGUGAAAUCCCGGUGCUUAACGCCGGAACUGCAUUUGAAACUGGCAAGCUAGAGUCAUCAAGAGGAGAUCGGAAUUACCAGUGUAGAGGUGAAAUUCGUAGAUAUUGGUAGGAACACCAGUGGCGAAGGCGGAUCUCUGGGGAUGUACUGACGCUCAGGGUCGAAAGCAUGGGGAGCAAACAGGAUUAGAUACCCCCGUAGUCC
rnacentral:rRNA from 1 species